rnacentral:rRNA from 1 species
GAUGAACGCUGGCGGCGUGCCUAAUACAUGCAAGUCGAGCGAAUGGAUUAAGAGCUUGCUCUUAUGAAGUUAGCGGCGGACGGGUGAGUAACACGUGGGUAACCUGCCCAUAAGACUGGGAUAACUCCGGGAAACCGGGGCUAAUACCGGAUAACAUUUUGAACCGCAUGGUUCGAAAUUGAAAGGCGGCUUCGGCUGUCACUUAUGGAUGGACCCGCGUCGCAUUAGCUAGUUGGUGAGGUAACGGCUCACCAAGGCAACGAUGCGUAGCCGACCUGAGAGGGUGAUCGGCCACACUGGGACUGAGACACGGCCCAGACUCCUACGGGAGGCAGCAGUAGGGAAUCUUCCGAAAUGGACGAAAGUCUGGCGGAGCAACGCCGCGUGAGUGAGGAAGGCUUUCGGGUCGUAAAACUCUGUUGUUAGGGAAGAACAAGUGCUAGUUGAAUAAGCUGGCACCUUGACGGUACCCAACCAGAAAGCCACGGCUAACUACGUGCCAGCCGCCGCGGUAA